AAUCCCCGGCCCUCUCACGAUUAUUUUUAAAAGAUUCCAUGUUCCUGGAGAAUUAAUCUGAUUAUGACUACCUUCAAUGUGGCUUUAUUGAGAGUCUCGUGUGGCAUGAACAUUUCAUAUUUAACCAGGGAGAAGCGCCCUGAAAACUUGAGAUGAAGGUACUCUGUGGGGCUGACACAGAAGAUGCUCCCGCUUCUGAGCCCGGUCUGUUCCCUACGUGGUCUGUGCAUGGCGCCCACGGGAUGUACUGCCCGGGCUGAGCGUGAGCUGGGGCAGCCCGUGGCCGAGGAGAGGCACCAGUGUCCCCAGGGGGCCCAAUAACCCUGCAGUUCCCACCCACUCGCCCGCCCGCCCGUUCGUUUGGAUCGAUUUUCUCGUCUGCUCCUACCCGGGAUCCAGGCCUCUAUCACCCUCACCUGUCUCCAGGAACCGUUGAUCUUCAGGAUGCUCAUUCUCUUUUUGUCAGAAAAUGAAACACUGCUCGGCUUCCACAGGCACCUGAGGAGUGGUAAUUUAUUCCAGUAACAUCAGAAGUCACGCUCUGGGAGAGCCCCUUCCUCGGUGAGUGUCUGGAACCUCUCAGUGUUGCUGGUCUGAAAGGUGAGCCUUUCCAGAUCCGUGCUUCUGAACAUGCAGCCCACACUGCCUCGUGUAACAAUAAUGCCAUCAUUUGCUGCACACUGACUAUAAUGCUGGCACACGGUUUCAUGUGAGUCUCAAAACCUUUGGUGGCAGUACUGUCAAUUAGGAUUACGUUUGACAAAAAGAGAAUUAAGUACUCCAGAACAAUAGCUUCUGUCAGGUAGUUUAUUUCUCUUUCCUGUUCAAGGAGUCCAGAAGAGUUUGACGUGACAGGGUAGCAGAGGCUCAGCACCUUUCUAACGCCCCUGGCAUAUGCAGCUCUCAUUCCCAAGGUUGUCUCAUUGGCAAAGGAAGGGGUUAGGGCUCCUGCUAUCACAUCUGUAUUCUAAAAAGAUGAAGUACACAUCCCACAGUAGCACUUACCAUUCUCACAUAUAGCCCAGACUUACACACACGGCCACAUCUACUCAGAAAUCUUCUCCCCUCUCGUCAUCUGCGUGCACAGCUAAAAUCUAAGAUUCUUUUGCUCUUGGUAAAGGGGAAAAUGGGUUCUGAGAGGCAGCUAGCAGUCUGCCAAGUUUAAGAGCUGCUAUUUCCGCCUUACAAAUGGAGAAAUUGCUCCAGAAGAAGUACACAGUAUUAGCUUUCUUGUGCUGGGACAGAUCACUCAACAGCUGCGACUGGAAGGGGUUUCGUUUGCAUGCGUUUUCAUGGCCUGGCUCCAGGUAGAGCUGUCCCGGCACAAAGGCGUGGAGGGCAGAGCUGCUCUGUUCGUGGCAGGGGGAGCAGCGUGGGGCCAGAGUGCCAGAGCAGAAGAUGCCAGUAGCCACACUGAGACCCCAGACACUCCCGGGAGUGCGAUCCCCCAGCCACCUGGGGGGACCCCGAAGAGGAUGGAGCUGAAACCCCGACUGCCACGGAGGUUACACUGACCCCUAAGGGGCCGAGCUGCAUCCAGACCUGUGUAGGUACGACCUCGGAGCUCUUAAGCUUUACACGGAAGUACUUCCACCAUACAAAAGGGCUUUGACUUUAUUCCGUCUCCACCACUAAAUUGGUAGAAAGAAAAAACCUUUCUGGCUAAGUUGCCAGGUCAGUCUGUUCAAACAAUGAUGCCCUUUGUUUUGCAAGGCUCUUUUGGCAGAGGACGUGGUCCUGGUACCAACUUGUGCAACGGAGCCUUUAGUUCUGCUGACCUUCUGAUGGGAGGAUUCACAGAAUUCAGCGACAAGCUUGGAGAUUGGCUGGCAGGCAGAUUAAAGCCUUAUUUUCCAUCUUCUGCCCGUUCAGGGUUGCAACUGGUUUAAACUUCACUGAAAUAUGCUUUGCUGUCCUACUCAUAGUUUAGAUCUUCAAUAACAUAAUAAAGGAGCAAGGUUUUCAAUGAGACAA